GUCAGUGUGGCAUAGUGGUUUGGGUGUUGGACUAUGACUUUGGAGACCAAGGUUCAAAUCCCAGCCUGGCCA
rnacentral:tRNA from 1 species